GUUUUUGUUCGUCGUCUGCCGUGAAAAGUCCCGGGGGCUUCAACUCCGGAUCUGCGGGUGGGUACGGGCAGACUAAGAGUGAUGUAGGGGGAGACUGGAAUUCCUGGUGUAGCGGUGAAAUGCGCAGAUAUCAGGAGGAACACCGAUGGCGAAGGGCAGGUCUCUGGGCAUUAACUGACGCUGAGGAGCGAAAGCAUGGGGAGCGAACAGGAUUAGAUACCCUGGUAGUCCAUGCCGUAAACGUUGGGCACUAGGUGUGGGGGACAUUCCACGUUUUCCGCGCCGUAGCUAACGCAUUAAGUGCCCCGCCUGGGGAGUACGGCCGCAAGGCUAAAACUCAAAGGAAUUGACGGGGGCCCGCACAAGCGGCGGAGCAUGCGGAUUAAUUCGAUGCAACGCGAAGAACCUUACCAAGGCUUGACAUGGACCGGAAAUGCCUGGAAACAGGUGCCCCGCUUGCGGUCGGUUCACAGGUGGUGCAUGGUUGUCGUCAGCUCGUGUCGUGAGAUGUUGGGUUAAGUCCCGCAACGAGCGCAACCCUCGUUCUAUGUUGCCAGCGCGUUAUGGCGGGGACUCAUAGGAGACUGCCGGGGUCAACUCGGAGGAAGGUGGGGACGACGUCAAAUCAUCAUGCCCCUUAUGUCUUGGGCUUCACGCAUGCUACAAUGGCCGGUACAAAGGGUUGCGAUACUGUGAGGUGGAGCUAAUCCCAAAAAGCCGGUCUCAGUUCGGAUUGGGGUCUGCAACUCGACCCCAUGAAGUCGGAGUCGCUAGUAAUCGCAGAUCAGCAACGCUGCGGUGAAUACGUUCCCGGGCCUUGUACACACCGCCCGUCAAGUCACGAAAGUUGGUAACACCCGAAGCCGGUGGCCUAACCCCUUGUGGGAGGGAGCUGUCGAAGGUGGGACUGGCGAUUGGGACUAAGUCGAACAAG
rnacentral:rRNA from 1 species